rnacentral:rRNA from 1 species
UACGUAGGUGACCAGCGUUGUCCGGAUUUACUGGGCGUAAAGCGUGCGCAGGCGGCGCCGCAAGUCGCGUGUGAAAUCCCCGAGCUUAACUUGGGAAUUGCGCUCGAAACUACGAUGCUGGAGUGUGGCAGAGGGAGGUGGAAUUCCACGUGUAGCGGUGAAAUGCGUAGAGAUGUGGAGGAACACCGAUGGCGAAGGCAGCCUCCUGGGCCAACACUGACGCUCAUGCACGAAAGCGUGGGGAGCAAACAGG